GACGAACGCUGGCGGCGUGCUUAACACAUGCGAGUCGAACGGUAAGGCUCCAGCUUGCUGGGGUACACGAGUGGCGAACGGGUGAGUAACACGUGGGUGACCUGCCCUGCACUUCGGGAUAAGCCUGGGAAACUGGGUCUAAUACCGGAUAGGACCGCACCGUGAGGGUGUGGUGGAAAGUUUUUUCGGUGUGGGAUGGGCCCGCGGCCUAUCAGCUUGUUGGUGGGGUAAUGGCCUACCAAGGCGGCGACGGGUAGCCGGCCUGAGAGGGUGGACGGCCACAUUGGGACUGAGACACGGCCCAGACUCCUACGGGAGGCAGCAGUGGGGAAUAUUGCACAAUGGGCGGAAGCCUGAUGCAGCGACGCCGCGUGGGGGAUGACGGCCUUCGGGUGGUAAACUCCUUUCACCAUCGACGAAGGGUUUCUGACGGUAGAUGGAGAAGAAGCACCGGCUAACUACGU
rnacentral:rRNA from 1 species